rnacentral:rRNA from 1 species
AGCGAACGUUUGCGGCGGGCCUAACACAUGCAAGUCGAACGCACUAGCAAUAGUGAGUGGCGCACGGGUGCGUAACACGUGGGUAAUCAACCCUUCAGCUUGGGAUAACGACUUGAAAGGGUCGCUAAUACCGGAUACGGCGAGAGAGGCUUCGGCAUUUCUCGAGAAAGCCUCGCAAGGGGCACUGAAGGACGAGCCUGCGGCCCAUCAGCUAGUUGGUGAGGUAAGAGCUCACCAAGGCGAAGACGGGUAGCUGGUCUGAGAGGAUGAUCAGCCACACUGGAACUGAGACACGGUCCAGACUCCUACGGGAGGCAGCAGUGGGGGAAUAUUGCGCAAUGGGCGAAAGCCUGACGCAGCCACGCCGCGUGAGCGAUGAAGGCCUUCGGGUCGUAAAGCUCUGUGGGGAGAGACGAAGAAAGACCCGUGAAGAGACGGGCCGUUGACGGUAGUCUCCUUAGCAAGCACCGGCUAACU